rfam:Pseudocercospora musae strain CBS 116634 scaffold59, whole genome shotgun sequence.
CUCUGAUGAGCUCUUGAUGACGAGUCUGAUUCGGCAUUGUCGAUGCAGACACAAUCUUUUAUUUACCAUUCAUGCAAACCUGAUC